GGAAUUGGCGGGGGAGCACCACAAGGGGUGGAACCUGCGGUUCAAUUGGAUUCAACGCCGGACAACUCACCAGGGGCGACAGUUGGUUGAAGGCCAGGUUGACGACUUUGCUGGACUAGCUGAGAGGUGGUGCAUGGCCAUCGUCAGCUCGUACCGUGAGGCGUCCUGUUAAGUCAGGCAACGAGCGAGAUCCUCGCCCCUAGUUGCCGUCGGUGGGAAGCCGGGCACUCUAGGGGGACCGCUGGCGCUAAGUCAGAGGAAGGAGAGGGCGACGGUAGGUCAGUAUGCCCCGAAUCCCCUGGGCUACACGCGGGUUACAAUGCGCAGGACAAUGAGAUGCAACCCCGUAAGGGGGAGCCAAGCCCCUAAACCUGCGCUCGGUUCGGAUCGAGGGCUGUAACUCGCCCUCGUGAAGCUGGAAUCCCUAGUAAUCGCGUGCCAACACCGCGCGGUGAAUGCGUCCCUGCUCCUUGCACACACCGCCCGUCAAGCCACUCGAGUGGGGUCCGGAUGAGGUCAGUUCAAGUUGGACUGCUCGAAUCCGAGUUCUGCAAGAGGGGCU
rnacentral:rRNA from 1 species